rnacentral:lncRNA from 1 species
GCAUCCUCGGCUUCUGUUGGUUUGCAUGACAGCCCCAGAUCCUCAGUGAUGGCCCUGAUUUUGUGCUUGGGAUGUGUUUCCACCCUCUGGAGGAUGAGUCCAGAAAUACUCUCCAUCCCUGGAGGAUUCCACUCGGACUCUGGCUGUCCUCAGCCAGCAGCAGCAAGGUGGUGACCGCAUGCCUGCCAGCCACCCGAGACCUCCAGGCAUGGUGUGGUGGGGCAGCUGGUGUUGUGAAUCAGGCCGUUGCCAAUCAGAGAACGGCUACUUCACAACACCAGGGUCACACCCCAUCACAGGCACCGGCUGCCGUCAAGGCUGCGCAGCGGCUCAUCUCAGGGACACAGCCAUGCCCUCUGGAAGCCCAGCAUGCAUGCAGCUGUGGCUCCUCCUGCACAAACAGCUCUACUCAUAAAAGAAAAACCACUCCUGGCUAUGGCCUUCCCACUGUGAAACGGAGCUUUCACCCCUCUACCACAUUUCCAAGUACAAGAUUCUCUCAAGGGGUCCCACUGCAGACAACCGAAAGCCUUGGUGGUGCAUGGAGCUUAUCGAAGACAUACUUUUCCACCCACCAUCUUAUCUUUCAAGCUGGUCACCAUCUGCUGACCCUUGGUCAGUGCUUUUGGGGGAAGCUAGGUUUACAAAGGACUUUUGUUGAGUAA